rnacentral:rRNA from 1 species
GAUGAACGCUGACAGAAUGCUUAACACAUGCAAGUCGAUGGGGAAGUGGUGCUUGCACCAUGGUAACCAUGGCGGACGGGUGAGUAACGCGUAAGGGACUUACCUGCAGGACUGGGAUAACAGGGGGAAACUCCUGACAAGACCGGAUAAUGUCAUGGAGCUGCAUGGCUUUAUGAUGAAAGGAGACGCCUGCGGAGAGCCUUGCGUCCUAUUAGCUAGUUGGUGAGGUAAGGGCUCACCAAGGCGAAGAUAGGUAGCCGGCCUGAGAGGGUGGACGGCCACAAGGGGACUGAGAUACGGCCCUUACUCCUACGGGAGGCAGCAGUGGGGAAUAUUGGACAAUGGGGGCAACCCUGAUCCAGCAAUUCUGUGUGCACGAAGAAGGUUUUCGGAUUGUAAAGUGCUUUCAGCAGGGAAGAAGGAAGUGACGGUACCUGCAGAAGAAGCGACGGCUAAAUACGUGCCAGCAGCCGCGAUAAUACGUAUGUCGCGAGCGUUAUCCGGAAUUAUUGGGCAUAAAGGGCAUCUAGGCGGCCUUACAAGUCAGGGGUGAAAACCUGCGGCUCAACCGCAGGCCUGCCUUUGAAACUGUUAGGCUGGAGUACCGGAGAGGUGGACGGAACUGCACGAGUAGAGGUGAAAUUCGUAGAUAUGUGCAGGAAUGCCGAUGAUGAAGAUAGUUCACUGGACGGUAACUGACGCUGAAGUGCGAAAGCCGGGGGAGCGAACAGG